UACGAAGGGGGUGAGCGUUGUUCGGAAUUACUGGGCGUAAAGGGCGCGUAGGCGGCCGAUCAAGUUAGAUGUGAAAGUCCUGGGCUUAACCUGGGGACUGCAUUUGAUACUGAUUGGCUUGAAUUCGGGAGAGGAUAGCGGAAUUCCCAGUGUAGAGGUGAAAUUCGUAGAUAUUGGGAAGAACACCGGUGGCGAAGGCGGCUAUCUGGACCGACAUUGACGCUGAGGCGCGAAAGCGUGGGGAGCAAACAGG
rnacentral:rRNA from 1 species